GACGAACGCUGGCGGCGUGCUUAACACAUGCAAGUUGAACGGAGUAUAUUGGAAGGGUAACCGGAAGAUAUAUUUAGUGGCGGACGGGUGAGUAAUGCAUGAGAACGUAUCCUCAAGAGGGGGACAACAUUGGGAAACCGAUGCUAAUACCCCAUAAGCCGGGAGGUAAAAGGAGCAAUCCGCUUGAGGAGCGGUUCAUGUCCUAUCAGCUAGUUGGUGAGGUAACGGCUCACCAAGGCGAAGACGGGUAGCCGGCCUGAGAGGGUGAACGGCCACACUGGAACUGAGAGACGGUCCAGACUCCUACGGGAGGCAGCAGUGGGGAAUAUUGGGCAAUGGGGGAAACCCUGACCCAGCGACGCCGCGUGAGGGAAGAAGGCCUUAGGGUCGUAAACCUCUGUUGUGUGGGAAGAAGAGCGUGACGGUACCACACGAGGAAGUCCCGGCUAACUACGUG
rnacentral:rRNA from 2 species